rnacentral:rRNA from 1 species
AUACAUGCAAGUCGAGCGAACAGAUGAGAAGCUUGCUUCUCUGAUGUUAGCGGCGGACGGGUGAGUAACACGUGGGUAACCUACCUAUAAGACUGGGAUAACUCCGGGAAACCGGGGCUAAUACCGGAUAAUAUUUUGAACCGCAUGGUUCAAUAGUGAAAGACGGUUUCGGCUGUCACUUAUAGAUGGACCCGCGCCGUAUUAGCUAGUUGGUAAGGUAACGGCUUACCAAGGCGACGAUACGUAGCCGACCUGAGAGGGUGAUCGGCCACACUGGAACUGAGAACCGGUCCAGACUCCUACGGGAGGCAGCAGUAGGGAAUCUUCCGCAAUGGGCGAAAGCCUGACGGAGCAACGCCGCGUGAGUGAUGAAGGUCUUCGGAUCGUAAAACUCUGUUGUUAGGGAAGAACAAAUUUGUUAGUAACUGAACAAGUCUUGACGGUACCUAACCAGAAAGCCACGGCUAACUACGUGCCAGCAGCCGCGGUAAUACGUAGGUGGCAAGCGUUAUCCGGAAUUAUUGGGCGUAAAGCGCGCGUAGGCGGUUUCUUAAGUCUGAUGUGAAAGCCCACGGCUCAACCGUGGAGGGUCAUUGGAAACUGGGAAACUUGAGUGCAGAAGAGGAGAGUGGAAUUCCAUGUGUAGCGGUGAAAUGCGCAGAGAUAUGGAGGAACACCAGUGGCGAAGGCGGCUCUCUGGUCUGUAACUGACGCUGAUGUGCGAAAGCGUGGGGAUCAAACAGGAUUAGAUACCCUGGUAGUCCACGCCGUAAACGAUGAGUGCUAAGUGUUAGGGGGUUUCCGCCCCUUAGUGCUGCAGCUAACGCAUUAAGCACUCCGCCUGGGGAGUACGACCGCAAGGUUGAAACUCAAAGGAAUUGACGGGGACCCGCACAAGCGGUGGAGCAUGUGGUUUAAUUCGAAGCAACGCGAAGAACCUUACCAAAUCUUGACAUCCUUUGACCGCUCUAGAGAUAGAGUCUUCCCCUUCGGGGGACAAAGUGACAGGUGGUGCAUGGUUGUCGUCAGCUCGUGUCGUGAGAUGUUGGGUUAAGUCCCGCAACGAGCGCAACCCUUAAGCUUAGUUGCCAUCAUUAAGUUGGGCACUCUAGGUUGACUGCCGGUGACAAACCGGAGGAAGGUGGGGAUGACGUCAAAUCAUCAUGCCCCUUAUGAUUUGGGCUACACACGUGCUACAAUGGAUAAUACAAAGGGCAGCGAAUCCGCGAGGCCAAGCAAAUCCCAUAAAAUUAUUCUCAGUUCGGAUUGUAGUCUGCAACUCGACUACAUGAAGCUGGAAUCGCUAGUAAUCGUAGAUCAGCAUGCUACGGUGAAUACGUUCCCGGGUCUUGUACACACCGCCCGUCACACCACGAGAGUUUGUAACACCCGAAGCCGGUGGAGUAACCUUUUAGGAGCUAGCCGUCGAAGGU